rnacentral:rRNA from 1 species
AUUGAACGCUGGCGGCAGGCCUAACACAUGCAAGUCGAACGGUAACAGGAAGAAGCUUGCUUCUUUGCUGACGAGUGGCGGACGGGUGAGUAAUGUCUGGGAAACUGCCUGAUGGAGGGGGAUAACUACUGGAAACGGUAGCUAAUACCGCAUAACGUCGCAAGACCAAAGAGGGGGACCUUCGGGCCUCUUGCCAUCGGAUGUGCCCGGGUGGGAUUAGCUAGUAGGUGGGGUAACGGCUCACCUAGGCGACGAUCCCUAGCUGGUCUGAGAGGAUGACCAGCCACACUGGAACUGAGACACGGUCCAGACUCCUACGGGAGGCAGCAGUGGGGAAUAUUGCACAAUGGGCGAAAGCCUGAUGCAGCCAUGCCGCGUGUAUGAAGAAGGCCUUCGGGUUGUAAAGUACUUUCAGCGGGGAGGAAGGGAGUAGAGUUAAUACCUGUGCUCAUUGACGUUACCCGCAGAGGAAGCAACGGCUAACUCCGUG